rnacentral:rRNA from 1 species
GUAUAAUGGGUCAGCGACUUAUAUUCAGUGGCAAGCUUAACCGUAUAGGGUAGGCGUAGCGAAAGCGAGUCUUAAUAGGGCGUUUAGUCGCUGGGUAUAGACCCGAAACCGGGCGAUCUAUCCAUGAGCAGGUUGAAGGUUAGGUAACACUGACUGGAGGACCGAACCCACUCCCGUUGAAAAGGUAGGGGAUGACUUGUGGAUCGGAGUGAAAGGCUAAUCAAGCUCGGAGAUAGCUGGUUCUCCUCGAAAGCUAUUUAGGUAGCGCCUCAUGUAUCACUCUGGGGGGUAGAGCACUGUUUCGGCUAGGGGGUCAUCCCGACUUACCAAACCGAUGCAAACUCCGAAUACCCAGAAGUGCCGAGCAUGGGAGACACACGGCGGGUGCUAACGUCCGUCGUGAAAAGGGAAACAACCCAGACCGCCAGCUAAGGUCCCAAAGUUGUGGUUAAGUGGUAAACGAUGUGGGAAGGCUUAGACAGCUAGGAGGUUGGCUUAGAAGCAGCCAUCCUUUAAAGAAAGCGUAAUAGCUCACUAGUCGAGUCGGCCUGCGCGGAAGAUGUAACGGGGCUCAAACCACACACCGAAGCUGCGGGUGUCACGUAAGUGACGCGGUAGAGGAGCGUUCUGUAAGCCUGUGAAGGUGAGUUGAGAAGCUUGCUGGAGGUAUCAGAAGUGCGAAUGCUGACAUGAGUAACGACAAUGGGUGUGAAAAACACCCACGCCGAAAGACCAAGGGUUCCUGCGCAACGUUAAUCGACGCAGGGUUAGUCGGUUCCUAAGGCGAGGCUGAAAAGCGUAGUCGAUGGGAAACAGGUUAAUAUUCCUGUACUUCUGGUUACUGCGAUGGAGGGACGGAGAAGGCUAGGCCAGCUUGGCGUUGGUUGUCCAAGUUUAAGGUGGUAGGCUGAAAUCUUAGGUAAAUCCGGGGUUUCAAGGCCGAGAGCUGAUGACGAGUCGUCUUUUAGAUGACGAAGUGGUUGAUGCCAUGCUUCCAAGAAAAGCUUCUAAGCUUCAGGUAACCAGGAACCGUACCCCAAACCGACACAGGUGGUCGGGUAGAGAAUACCAAGGCGCUUGAGAGAACUCGGGUGAAGGAACUAGGCAAAAUGGCACCGUAACUUCGGGAGAAGGUGCGCCGGCUAGGGUGAAGGAUUUACUCCGUAAGCUCUGGCUGGUCGAAGAUACCAGGCCGCUGCGACUGUUUAUUAAAAACACAGCACUCUGCAAACACGAAAGUGGACGUAUAGGGUGUGACGCCUGCCCGGUGCCGGAAGGUUAAUUGAUGGGGUUAGCGCAAGCGAAGCUCUUGAUCGAAGCCCCGGUAAACGGCGGCCGUAACUAUAACGGUCCUAAGGUAGCGAAAUUCCUUGUCGGGUAAGUUCCGACCUGCACGAAUGGCGUAACGAUGGCGGCGCUGUCUCCACCCGAGACUCAGUGAAAUUGAAAUCGCUGUGAAGAUGCAGUGUAUCCGCGGCUAGACGGAAAGACCCCGUGAACCUUUACUGUAGCUUUGCACUGGACUUUGAGCCUGCUUGUGUAGGAUAGGUGGGAGGCUUUGAAGCGUGGACGCCAGUUCGCGUGGAGCCAUCCUUGAAAUACCACCCUGGCAUGCUU